rnacentral:rRNA from 1 species
AUUGAACGCUGGCGGCAGGCCUAACACAUGCAAGUCGAACGAGUGGAGGACGGGUGAGUAAUGCCUGGGAAACUGCUCGACGGCGGGGGAUAACCACUGGAAACGGUAGCUAAUACCGCCUAACAUUGGAUGAGCCCAGAUGGGACUAACCAGUCGGUGGGGUAACGGCUCACCUAGGCGCCGAUCCCUAGCUGGUCUGAGAGGAUGAACAGCCACACUGGAACGGAGACACGGGCGCAACUCCUACGGGGGGCAGCAGUGGGGAAUAUUGCGCAAUGGGGGCAGACCUGAUGCAGCCAUGCCGCGUGUAUGAAGAAGAGCUUCGGGUUGUAAAGUACUUUCGGCGGAGGGGCGUUACCCGCAGAAGAAGCACCAGCUAACUCCGUGCCAGCAGCCGCGGUAAUAC